rnacentral:rRNA from 1 species
CAGCUUGUUGGUGGGGUGAUGGCCUACCAAGGCGACGACGGGUAGCCGGCCUGAGAGGGCGACCGGCCACACUGGGACUGAGACACGGCCCAGACUCCUACGGGAGGCAGCAGUGGGGAAUAUUGCGCAAUGGGCGGAAGCCUGACGCAGCGACGCCGCGUGGGGGAUGACGGCCUUCGGGUUGUAAACCUCUUUCGGCCCCGACGAAGCGUGAGUGACGGUAGGGGUAGAAGAAGCACCGGCCAACUACGUGCCAGCAGCCGCGGUAAUACGUAGGGUGCGAGCGUUGUCCGGAAUUAUUGGGCGUAAAGGGCUCGUAGGCGGUGUGUCGCGUCGGCCGUGAAAACCUGCAGCUUAACUGUGGGCUUGCGGUCGAUACGGGCAUCACUGGAGUUCGGCAGGGGAGACUGGAAUUCCUGGUGUAGCGGUGAAAUGCGUAGAGAUCCGGAGGAACACCGAAGGCGAAGGCAGUGUCCUGGCGAGUGACUGACGCUGAGGUGCGAAAGCUAGGGGAGCGAACGGGAUUAGAUACCCCGGUAGUCCUAGCCGUAAACGAUGACCACCAGGUGUGGGAGGUAUCGACCCCU